CUUGUACCUGUUCCCUAUAAAAGGCAAAAUGCCUUCAUUGGCAAUCCCACAGUAGGGGAUGAACUAAUUACCUAUGAUUUUGACCUAAAAAAAUGUUUAAAGAAAAGUGUUAAGGGACGUCAGUUGUUGCAAACAAAGUCUUCUGAAACGUCAUUAACACCUACCUUACAGAACAAUCUAGUAUCAAUCAUUAUUGAAGAAGAACUGCGAACCCGUUUGGACAAAAGAAUUCCUUCAAGACGGUUUAUUCAGCUCGCACGCUAUAUUAAACAGUUAUUUCCAAAGGAAAGAAUUGAAACAUAUUA